UACGUAGGGUGCGAGCGUUGUCCGGAAUUACUGGGCGUAAAGAGCUCGUAGGUGGUUUGUCGCGUUGUCCGUGAAAACUCACAACUCAAUUGUGGGCGUGCGGGCGAUACGGGCAGACUGGAGUACUGCAGGGGAGACUGGAAUUCCUGGUGUAGCGGUGGAAUGCGCAGAUAUCAGGAAGAACACCUAUGGCGAAGGCAGCACUCUGGGACGGUACUGACGCUGAGACGCGAAAGCGUGGGGAGCGAACAGG
rnacentral:rRNA from 1 species